GGUUGAUCCUGCCAGUAGUCAUACGCUUGUCUCAAAGAUUAAGCCAUGCAUGUGUAAGAAUAAAUAAUUUUAUCUUGAAUCUGCGAAUGGCUCAUUAUAUCAGUUAUAAUCUACAUGAUAACUAAAUACUACUUGGAUAACCGUAGUAAUUCUAGAGCUAAUACAUGCAUAAAAUCCCGACUUCUGGAAGGGAUGUAUUUAUUAGAAUAAAACCAAUUCGUUUUCGGACGAUAUUGUGGUGAGUCAUAAUAACUUAUCGGAUCGCAGUGACUUUAUUGU
rnacentral:rRNA from 1 species